rnacentral:rRNA from 1 species
UACGUAGGGGGCAAGCGUUGUCCGGAAUCAUUGGGCGUAAAGAGCGUGUAGGCGGCUCGGUAAGUCCGCUGUGAAAGUCCAGGGCUCAACCCUGGAAUGCCGGUGGAAACUGUCGAGCUAGAGUCCGGAAGAGGCGAGUGGAAUUCCUGGUGUAGCGGUGAAAUGCGCAGAUAUGAGGAGGAACACCAAUGGCGAAGGCAGCUCGCUGGGACGGUACUGACGCUGAGACGCGAAAGCGUGGGGAGCAAACAGG